CAAUAGCGUAUAUUAAAGUUGUUGCAGUUAAAAAGCUCGUAGUUGGAUUUCUGGUAGGAGUGACCGUGCCAGACUUGAUUGUCUGUGUAUUGUGUUGUCUCCAGCCAUCCUUGUGGAGAACUUUUCUUGCAUUAAUUUGUAGGGAUUGGGACCCGCAUCGUUUACUGUGAAAAAAUUAGAGUGUUUAAAGCAGGCAAUCGCUUGAAUACAUUAGCAUGGAAUAAUAAGAUAGGACUUUGGUACUGUUUUGUUGGUUUGUAUACCAAAUUAAUGAUCAACAGGAACAGUUUGAGGAUAUUCGUAUGAACAUGUCAGAGGUGAAAUUCUUGGAUUUUGAUCAGACGAACUACUGCGAAAGCAUUUAUCAAGGAUGUUUUCAUUAA
rnacentral:rRNA from 1 species